rnacentral:rRNA from 1 species
UACAGAGGUGUCAAGCGUUGCUCGGUGUCACUGGGCUUAAAGGGCGCGUAGGCUGUGCAGUACGGCUCGGGUGAAAUCCCUCGGCCCAACCGAGGAACUGCCCGGGCGACGGCUGCGCUGGACUGCAUCAGGGGCGGAUGGAACUCCCGGUGGAGCGGUGAAAUGCGUAGAUAUCGUUUGGAACGCCAAUGGUGAAAACAGGUUGCUGGGAGUGUGCUGACGCUGAGACACGAAAGCCAGGGGAGCGAACGGG